GUGCCAGCAGCCGCGGUAAUACCGGCAGCACGAGUGAUGGCCGAUAUUAUUGGGCCUAAAGCGUCCGUAGCUGGCCGGACAAGUCCGUUGGGAAAUCCACCCGCUUAACGGGUGGGCGUCCAGCGGAAACUGUCCGGCUUGGAGCCGGAAGAUCCGAGGGGUACGUCCGGGGUAGGAGUGAAAUCCCGUAAUCCUGGACGGACCGCCGAUGGCGAAAGCACGUCGCGAAGACGGAUCCGACAGUGAGGGACGAAAGCUAGGGUCUCGAACCGGAUUAGAUACCCUGGUAGUCC
rnacentral:rRNA from 1 species